rnacentral:rRNA from 1 species
AAGUCUCCUGAAGGAACGUUGAAGACGACGACGUUGAUAGGCCGGGUGUGUAAGCGCAGCGAUGCGUUGAGCUAACCGGUACUAAUGAACCGUGAGGCUGAACCUUACAACGCCGAAG